UCUAAGUUCCUUGUUGCUUGACAUUUGGUAUGCACUCUUUUAUUAUCAUCAUUAUUAUUAUUCCCUGGUCAUGUCUGGUCCUUUCCUGAUUCCCCUUCACAACUCCUUGCCCCAGGGUGGCUAUAACCUCCGCGCCCUAGCUGAAGGCGUCAGUGCUUCGCUCCACACCCUUCUUGGAGACCCUUGCCCCAUGCUGGAGUCACCUGGUGCCCCCUGCCGGAGUGCCCAGGCUUCAGUUUCCUGUGCUCUGGAAGCCCUUGAGCCCUUCUGGGAGGUUCUUGUGAGAUCAAGUAGGAAGUGGGGUGUGGGCCUGGUGUGGGGUGGAUGUGGGAUGAGCCCUGGGGGAGACUGUCUUCAGACUUCCACUGACUUUACUGUGCUGCCUUGGUGGGAGAGGGUCAGGCCCUCUCUCUCCCUGGGCCCUGGUUUCAGGCCUCCCACCCCUUUUUCUGUUUGGGUCACCUGAGUUCCAGAGUAUGACGGGGAUUCA
rnacentral:sRNA from 1 species